rnacentral:rRNA from 1 species
UACGUAGGCAGCGAGCGUUGUUCGGAGUUACUGGGCGUAAAGAGCGCGCAGGCGGUCGGAUAAGUCGAAUGUGAAAGCCCCCGGCUCAACUGGGGAGGGUCAUUCGAUACUGUUCGACUCGAAGGCAGGAGAGGGAAGUGGAAUUCCCGGUGUAGUGGUGAAAUGCGUAGAUAUCGGGAGGAACACCAGUGGCGAAGGCGACUUCCUGGCCUGUUCUGACGCUGAGGCGCGAAAGCUAGGGGAGCAAACGGG